GACGAACGCUGGCGGCGUGCUUAACACAUGCAAGUCGAACGGAAAGGCCCUGCUUUUGUGGGGUGCUCGAGUGGCGAACGGGUGAGUAACACGUGAGUAACCUGCCCUUGACUUUGGGAUAACUUCAGGAAACUGGGGCUAAUACCGGAUAGGAGCUCCUGCUGCAUGGUGGGGGUUGGAAAGUUUCGGCGGUUGGGGAUGGGCUCGCGGCUUAUCAGCUUGUUGGUGGGGUAGUGGCUUACCAAGGCUUUGACGGGUAGCCGGCCUGAGAGGGUGACCGGCCACAUUGGGACUGAGAUACGGCCCAGACUCCUACGGGAGGCAGCAGUGGGGAAUCUUGCACAAUGGGCGGAAGCCUGAUGCAGCAACGCCGCGUGCGGGAUGACGGCCUUCGGGUUGUAAACCGCUUUCGCCUGUGACGAAGCGUGAGUGACGGUAAUGGGUAAAGAAGCACCGGCUAACUACGUG
rnacentral:rRNA from 1 species